rnacentral:rRNA from 1 species
UACGUAGGGGGCAAGCGUUGUCCGGAUUUAUUGGGCGUAAAGAGCGUGUAGGCGGCUAGAUAGGUCCGUUGUGAAAACUCGAGGCUCAACCUCGAGACGUCGAUGGAAACCAUCUGGCUAGAGUCCGGAAGAGGAGAGUGGAAUUCCUGGUGUAGCGGUGAAAUGCGCAGAUAUCAGGAAGAACACCAACGGCGAAGGCAGCUCGCUGGGACGGUACUGACGCUGAGACGCGAAAGCGUGGGGAGCGAACAGG